UCCAUUUUCUCUCCAUUCCUCAGCUCCAUUCUUGUCCUUGUAGAGGUGCAAAGUUUAUGACCACCAGCUACACCAUCAGAUGUCCCUCUUGGAUGCAAUGAAUGCAGGAUGACUGGACAUAUCUGCAGGAGAUUACCAGGGAUGGAUCAUGCAUGCAAAAAGAUUCUUCCCCAGCAAGAGAGGACAUGAGCAUUCUGGGGUCGUCUAACCUCACUGUUCAGCUCACCAAUGCAACUCUUUUCCUUUACGGACUGCCCUGGCUGGGAUCAUGAGAGCGUGUCCAAUCUAGAGUGCCUGCGCGAUGCAAACAUCUUUUGAGGAUGACAUGUCAGUCAAACGAACAGGAAAACAAUGAAGAGCGAUGAGGCAUGGAGGGGCCUGACUGGUUGAGGUGUUAUUCAGAGGAUACACACACACACACACACACACACACACACACACACAUAUACACAAGACAGAAAUGCACAUGUGCAAAUGUGUGCCCGCAACUGUACUGGCACGUGUACAUGCACAUACGAAGAGAAAUGGACACAAAGCUCUAAAUAAUUUUACCCCGAAGAGAUACUCAUCUCGUUCACUUGUCCCACUCACACACAGAAAUAGUGGAAUGAAUGACUACAAGGAUGCUGACA